UGGGGAAUAUUGGACAAUGGGGGGAACCCUGAUCCAGCCAUGCCGCGUGUGUGAAGAAGGCCUUAUGGUUGUAAAGCACUUUAAGCGAGGAGGAGGGUACUGGUAUUAAUACUACCAGCUACUGGACGUUACUCGCAGAAUAAGCACCGGCUAACUCUGUGCCAGCAGCCGCGGUAAUACAGAGGGUGCGAGCGUUAAUCGGAUUUACUGGGCGUAAAGCGUGCGUAGGCGGCUAAUUGAGUCGGAUGUGAAAUCCCCGGGCUUAACGUGGGAAUUGCAUUCGAUACUGGUUAGCUAGAGUGUGGGAGAGGAUGGUAGAAUUCCAGGUGUAGCGGUGAAAUGCGUAGAGAUCUGGAGGAAUACCGAUGGCGAAGGCAGCCAUCUGGCCUAACACUGACGCUGAGGUACGAAAGCAUGGGGAGCAAACAGG
rnacentral:rRNA from 1 species